GGGAACAAUCCUUGAAGCUCAGGAGGGAUAGCGCCUAGGUUUAUUGCAACCAGCAAGAGACCGGCCGGCUCUUGAUGGUUCAUCGAUCUGUUCGUCCGAAGCGCUAUCUAUCCUGAGCUCCACGGUUUGUUCUU
rnacentral:pre_miRNA from 1 species